CUUCUCCGAGAUAACAGCAAGGCUGUUGUUUCACGGUCUGCGGGUUAGCCGCAAGCACCAGGGAGGAUAACGUUGCUUUAGCAACGGCCCGAAGGGCGAGGCGCAGCCGAGUAAUCCUCCCGGAUGCACCA
rnacentral:sRNA from 1 species